UCUGCAGGCUGAGUGGGGCUGUGCUGGCAAGUACAACUCAGCUAGGCACUGGGACAAAGCUCGCAUGUCUUCCCAGGCUGGGCUUGUUGCUGGAGAUGCUGGUACAGGCAGAGGGUGUUCCCAGCAUCCCUGGCAUGGGACCCUGGCUCUGCACCCGUGGCUCUUCUUGGCGUAUUUGUUGGAUGCCCGAAGGGAUUUUGGAGACCUUCACUAGGUGUAGGUGUCCACUGUAAGGACUUAUUUGCACACCUUGUGUCUCCAGCUGCUGGCUCUUAGGCUUC